rnacentral:lncRNA from 1 species
AUCAAGAGACCCUAAUGGUUAUUAUUCUUUGUUAUGUGUCUCAUUGUCUGGGUUUCCUAAACAUGUUCAGAAAAGAGUUCUAGAACAUCCAUAUAAAGAUUUUCUAUAUAACUGGUCAUCACACUUAAAUAAGAGUUAUGCUUUUAAUAUGGAAGAAUUGUUCCUUAUCGGUGUCCAUUCGAGCCUUUGAUGUUGCAAUUAUUUUUUUCUACAGACAGUCUGCAGCGAUAGUUCCUUGUGCUCAUUAUGCACAAUCAAUUGAAAAUUUUGAUAAUAAGUUGCAUGAGUUUUUGCUUUUUGGAGUUCCAUGGCGAUACUUGGUUAAAAGGAAUCGGUUUGGUUAUUUGGUUCAUAAGGAGGAUUGCCCUCUUUGGUUUGGGUUUAGUCUAAUGACGUCCAAGAUUCAAUACAGGAAGUUGGUCAAGACAAAAGAUAGGCCUCCUUGGAUUAUGAAGUUCCAAUCUAGCUUGUUGGAGUCGAAUUUUCUCAAUCGGGGAAAAAUGAUGCAAUAUUAAAGAGAGAUUAUUAUAUUUUGAUUUCAUUGAUUUUAUAAUAAUUCCCUGCUUUAAUUAGGACUAGAUUAAACCCUAUAUAAAGGGGUCUUUUACGUUGUAAUAGAACGACUUGAUUAGAUGAAAUGAAUUGAUAUUCUCCCCCCCAUUUCUCUCUAUUCUCUCCCCGUUCUUCUUCUCUUUUUCCUUCCUUUCUCCUUUUCUCUCCCCUUUCCCCUUCUCUUUUAAGUGGUCGUAUACAUCCAGUGUCACUAAUUGCCCAAUAGGUCUUACAGAUUGACUCUUCCUAGUGGCUAGGGCCGUCCUAUUCAUUGAUUUCUUUAUUUUUAUUUUUUUUGCUUUAUUACAAUUUACAUGUGAACAAUGUAUUGUUUGAUCAUUCUAACAUUUGCCACAAGCUAUUUAAGAUGUCCUGGCUCAAAGUUUAUUAUCUCGGAUGUGCUCUUUUUGAAUGACAGAUGCACUUUGAUUAUACCUAUGGAGCUUAUUUUGAUUAUGGAAAUCAUCCCGACCAGGUAUAUGCUUUUGUCUUUCAAGUAAUCACGUCUCUUAUUGGUUCUGUUUUGGGAUCACAACUCUUUAAAGUGCAAACAUUUCAGAAUUUAAUAAGCCUCAUCCUUUAUA